UCCUUAUCAAGAGUCGGGGUAGGAACCUGGUCCGUGGAUCCCGCAGCAACCAUUACUAAAGUAAUAAGGUGCUAAUUCCAGCAAGCAGAUGCUUGAACGAUGAGGG
rfam:Bacilli bacterium VT-13-104 contig065, whole genome shotgun sequence.